rnacentral:rRNA from 1 species
AACGAACGCUGGCGGCGUGCCUAACACAUGCAAGUCGAGCGCGAAAGUUCCUUCGGGGAUGAGUAGAGCGGCGGACUGGUGAGUAACGCGUGGGUGAUCUGCCUCUGGGAUGGGGAUAGCCAUUAGAAAUAGUGGGUAAUACCGAAUACGUUCGUCGGGCUGUGGCCUGACGAGGAAAGGCGCUUCGGCGCCACCCGGAGAUGAGCCCGCGUCCCAUUAGCUAGUUGGUGAGGUAACGGCCCACCAAGGCGAUGAUGGGUAGGCGGCCUGAGAGGGUGUACGGCCACACUGGGACUGAGACACGGCCCAGACUCCUACGGGAGGCAGCAGUGGGGAAUAUUGGACAAUGGGGGAAACCCUGAUCCAGCCAUGCCGCGUGAAUGAUGAAGGCCUCGG